rnacentral:rRNA from 1 species
GUCUUAAGCAUGCAAGUCGAACGGCAGCAUGAUAGAGCUUGCUCUAUUGAUGGCGAGUGGCGGACGGGUGAGUAACGCGUAGGAAUCUACCUGCAGGACUGGGAUAGCUAAGGGAAACUUUAGGUAAUACCGGAUGAUAUCGAGAGAUCAAAGGGGCUUUACGGCCUUGCCUAUAGAUGAGCCUGCGUACCAUCAGCUAGUUGGUUAGGUAAUAGCUGACCAAGGCUAAGACGGUUAGCCGGCUUGAGAGAGUGGCCGGCCACAAGGGUACUGAGACACGGACCCUACUCCUACGGGAGGCAGCAGCCAAGAAUAUUCCGCAAUGGGGGAAACCCUGACGGAGCGACACUGCGUGAAUGAUGAAGGCCUUCGGGUUGUAAAGUUCUUUUAUAAAGGAAGAAUAAGUUGGGUAGGAAAUGAUUCAAUGAUGGCGGUACUUUAUGAAUAAGUCCCGGCUAAUUACGUCCAGCAGCCGCGGUAA